rnacentral:rRNA from 1 species
AGAGUUUGAUCAUGGCUCAGGAUGAACGCUAGCUACAGGCUUAACACAUGCAAGUCGAGGGGAAACGACAUCGAAAGCUUGCUUUUGAUGGGCGUCGACCGGCGCACGGGUGAGUAACGCGUAUCCAACCUGCCCAUCACUUGGGGAUAACCUUGCGAAAGUAAGACUAAUACCCAAUGACGUCUCUAGAAGACAUCUGAAAGAGAUUAAAGAUUUAUCGGUGAUGGAUGGGGAUGCGUCUGAUUAGCUUGGUUGGCGGGGUAACGGCCCACCGAAGGCGACGAUCGAGUUAGGGGUUCUGGAGACGGAAGGUCCCCCANAUUGGAACUGAGACACGGUCCAAACGUCCGUACGGGAGCA